GCGCUGGGGAUAAUCCAGAAUCUUCAGGAGAGUCUGGGCCACGUCCUUAACAAUAUGAGCCGCGUAGGGUUCACCGAAGCGAUCCGCACGAAGACAGUACAGAACAUGUCGACAGCGAUGCGACCGUCUCGGAAACUCAGACUGGAAAUUUCGCUAAAUUGCCUACAGAUAGCUUGUUCGUUGGUGUUGGGGAUAUCUCGGCAAACACUUUAGGGUCGCUGUGCUAUCUUGUGCGGUAAACAAUAUCCUUCAUCUCAGAAGCAUUUCCAUCGAUAAACAAGUUGUAUCAUGGUUUCUCAAAGGAAGCACCAAGCGGGGCUGGCUUGGAUUUUCUUAUAGAAC